GACGAACGCUGGCGGCGUGCUUAACACAUGCAAGUCGAACGAUGAAGCCCAGCUUGCUGGGUGGAUUAGUGGCGAACGGGUGAGUAACACGUGGGUGAUCUGCCCUGCACUCUGGGAUAAGCCUGGGAAACUGGGUCUAAUACCGGAUAUGACCUCUUGCUGCAUGGCGAGGGGUGGAAAGUUUUUCGGUGCAGGAUGAGCCCGCGGCCUAUCAGCUUGUUGGUGGGGUAAUGGCCUACCAAGGCGACGACGGGUAGCCGGCCUGAGAGGGCGACCGGCCACACUGGGACUGAGACACGGCCCAGACUCCUACGGGAGGCAGCAGUGGGGAAUAUUGCACAAUGGGCGAAAGCCUGAUGCAGCGACGCCGCGUGAGGGAU
rnacentral:rRNA from 1 species